rnacentral:ribozyme from 1 species
AAUGGAAGAGAGGGAUACAGAAAACCCUGUUUUAUAUGGAUGGAAAGCUGCUUUUUGGUAUCCUUUUCUGUCCAGUGUUUUUUUUUUUGGAUGCCUUUGUUUUCCUUUCCGUGGGAGUUUUAGAACGGUUGGGAGGGAGUCAAUGAGGGAGGAGUUGAUUUU